ACUGUAAUGCAUUUUUUUUUGCCCCUCUUGUUCAUCCUUUCCUUCUUUGAUCAUUGUUCUCAGGUCGACCUGCACAAAGUAACCCGAUCCUGAAUACUGGCAGCAUAAUUUUAUGUAUUGCAGCAUAAAAAGAGGAAGAUGUGAUACAGAGGCUAACAAAAUGCAAAAUGUGCAGGACACAUGCAGUGUAUCAGAUCCUAGCAGCCUGUCAGUGCGUGUCCUCCAGAGCUUUCUAGCAUCCUGGAUUCUCUCCAGAAGCAUGGAAACAAGUUCAGCCAGACAUUACUGAGGCACAUUCCAGAAAUACUGUAUGGACAGAAGGGAAAAGUGCAAGGUUAUCGUUCGGGGGUUUUGGACACAUUCCCAUCUGCUGUCAAGGUAAGCUAUGUCCUAACCUUGCAGAAAUAUUUGCAUCUCUAGCAGAAAUACUGUAUAAAGUGAAGGAGUUAGGUACAAUUUAGUGGAAAACAGUACAGUGCAUACUUUUAGUUGAAUAGUCGGUUUUAGUUGAUCAGUUUAAUCACUUUUAAUUAUCACCUAUAUGAUGACUGUUUUUGGCCUGUUUAUUUUAUUAGGAGUUGAGCAUUGCAUAACGUCUCUUACAAAUAUGGUUAAGGAAAUGCACAAAAUCAAGACAACUACCUGGUCAGCUGAGAAAGCAGGAGAGAGAAUGAACGUUAACUGCAAUUUAAUGUACAACUGAUUUUCAGUAUAUGACAUUCCAAAACAUCAAGAAAUUUUACUUGCUUCUGGUGAGGAAAAUGCCUUAGUCAUAUCACUUGGAAAAAAAUAAUUACGCUACACAUACUCAUUUACACAGUUACAGCUUGCUAGAAGCAGCCUGUUUUUCCACAGCUCACUUACAGAGUUCUUUGAAGAUGUGCUGAUACUUCAGCAUCAGCAAUAUUGUCCCUACUGGGGGAAAGUAUUCCUGCGGGGUGUUAUAACCGUGCAAGAAAACAGCAAGAAUGAUGCAAGACCAAAAUAUUCCUG
rnacentral:lncRNA from 1 species